rnacentral:rRNA from 1 species
AUCACUAAGCGGAGGAAGAGAAACUAACAAGGAUUCCCUCAGUAACGGCGAGUGAAGCGGGAUCCAGCCCAGCACCGAAUCCCCCCGGGCCCCACGGCCGGGGGGGAGCUGUGGUGUUUGGGACGUCCGAAGGCACCGGCGCCGGUCGCGCGAGUCCUCCUGAUAGGGGCCCCAUCCCAAGGCGGGUGUCAGGCCUCUGGGGCGACCGCGCGCCGGAGCCUCUCGGCGUCUCUCGAGUCGGGUUGUUUGGGAAUGCAGCCCAAAGAGGGUGGUAAACUCCAUCUAAGGCUAAAUACUGGCACGAGACCGAUAGCGGACAAGUACCGUGAGGGAAAGUU